rnacentral:rRNA from 1 species
GUCUCAGAUUGGGCGGGAAUACCCGUCGAACUUAAGCAUAUCAAUAGACGGAGGAAAAGAAACUAACCAGGAUUCCUUUAGUAGCGGCGAGCGAAUCAGGAUCAGCUCAAGAUUUUAAUCGGUGGUAGUUCUAAGAAUUUUGCCACCGAGAUUUAAUCCUAAAUGGCGCAAUCGGGAGAUAUGGCAUACUAAGUCUUUUGGAACAAAGCGCCGUAGAGGGUGAUAGCCCCGUGUUUGUACGCCAGUUGUUUAACUCUCCCAGCCGAUGCGCCUUCUUUGAGUCAGGUUGCUUGGGAGUGCAGCCUAAAUAGGGUGGUAUACUUCAUCCAAAGCUAAAUAUGGACAGGAGACCGAUAGCGAACAAGUACCGUGAGGGAAAGAUGAAAAGAACUUUGGAAAGAGAGUGAAAUAGUGCUUGAAACCAUUGGGGGGAAAGCGAAUGGAGCUUCCGUAAUGUCGAAGGAUCUCAAACCAGCGCUUCGGUUGGAACUGGUGUAAUGACUUUGAUUAUGCGUCCUUGAGUAUUUCCCCUCUUGUUCGUGCGUUGAACACGACAAAAGACUUCUGUUGAAUUUUUUCCUCUCGGGGUUGAAGUUUUUAAACAGAACUGCUCUUUUUGGUUGUUGUUGGGAUCGAUGCAGAGGGGCUCUUUCUAAGAGUUUCAAUCUUUUUUUCGUUCACUUUUCCUUCUAAGGUUUAGUGAAAGUUUUAAGAUUGGGAAUGGACGUAGGGGCUUUCUUCGACCCGUCUUGUAACACGGACCAAGGAGUCCGGUAUGAGCGCGAGUGCUCGGGAAUGUUACUCCCAUGCGCGUAGCGAAAGCAAUGACCGGAUUCUGUUCACCUGGAAAGACUGAUAGAUUCAUCUUCCUCUAUGGACGAUAUAUACUUCUUUCAUCUUUGCUUUGGACACAUAGGUUCUUAAGGUGAGAAAUUUGGCUAUGUCCAUAUUGCAUCAUCAUCCAACUGAUCUACUCCUACAGUCGAUUGGCUUGUGAUUGAGCGCUCAUACUGGGACCCGAAAGAUGGUGAACUA